AAGGACGUGUCAUUUAGCAGCAGCAGGCUGGCUCAACCAAUCAGAGUCCGUCGAGCCAGCCUGCUGCUGCUAAAUGACACAUCAGA